rnacentral:rRNA from 1 species
GACGAACGCUGGCGGCGUGCUUAACACAUGCAAGUCGAACGGACAGGCCCUGCUGUUGCGGCGUGCACGAGUGGCGAACGCGUGAGUAACACGUGUGUAACCCCCCCUUGUCUUUCGGAUAACUCUUGGGGACUGCGGCUAAAAUCGCGUAGGAGCUCCUGCUGCAUGGUGGGCGUUGGAAAGUUUCGGCGGUUGGGGCUGGUCUCGCGGCUUAUGAGCUUGUUUGUGUGGUAGGGGCGUUCAAAGGGUUUGAGGGGUAGCCGGCCUGGGAGGGUGACCGGCGACAAUGGGACUGCGGUAGGGCGCAGAAUGCUACGGGAGGCAGCAGUCGGGAAUAUUGCACAAUGGGCGCGAGCCUGAGGCAGCGACGCCGCGUGCGGGAUGACGGCUUUCGGGUGAUAAACCGCUUUCGAAGGAGACGAAGCGGUAGUGACGGUACCUGGUAAAGAAGCACCGGCUAACUACGUG